CAGAUGAUGAAGGACUGGACAUGCCCCCCUAAGAGUGGCUGAGCUCUCCAGCUCAUCCUGACAAGGGAGAUAUUGUGGCUGUGGCACCUGCUGAGAAAAGUUUGAGAUGUCUCCCCUGGAACUCCACACUGCUUCAAGCUCUGGCAUCUCUGACACAGUCAGUUGCUCAACACUGUUUAAACAUUGUGCAUGGUAAGGUCAGAUGGUGCUAUG